GACGAACGCUGGCGGCGUGGAUUAGGCAUGCAAGUCGAACGGUAUCAUCCUUUCGGGGGUGAGAGAGUGGCGAACUGGUGAGUAACACGUAGGUUAUCUACCCUCAAGACGGGGACAACCCAGGGAAACUUGGGCUAAUACCGGAUGUGAGCAACUUUUAGUUGUUUGAAAGGUGGCGUAAGCUGUCGCUUGGGGAUGAGCCUGCGUCCUAUUAGUUAGUUGGUGAGGUAACGGCUCACCUAGGCAAUGAUAGGUAGGCGGCCUUAACGGGUGGUCGCCCACACUGGGAUUGAGAUACGGCCCAGACUCCUACGGGAGGCAGCAGUCGAGAAUAGUCUACAAUGGUCGGAAGACUGAUAGUGCGACGCCGCGUGAACGAUGAAUCCCUUCAGGGUGUAAAGUUCUUUUAUAUGUGAGCAGUGCUUCUUAUAUUAACAGUAUGGGGAGAGAGAUAUUAGCAUAUGAAUAAGCAACGGCUAACUCCGUGCCAGCAGCCGCGGUAA
rnacentral:rRNA from 1 species